GAUGAACGCUGGCGGCGUGCCUAAUACAUGCAAGUCGAGCGAACGGACGAGAAGCUUGCUUCUCUGAUGUUAGCGGCGGACGGGUGAGUAACACGUGGAUAACCUACCUAUAAGACUGGGAUAACUUCGGGAAACCGGAGCUAAUACCGGAUAAUAUUUUGAACCGCAUGGUUCAAAAGUGAAAGACGGUCUUGCUGUCACUUAUAGAUGGAUCCGCGCUGCAUUAGCUAGUUGGUAAGGUAACGGCUUACCAAGGCAACGAUGCAUAGCCGACCUGAGAGGGUGAUCGGCCACACUGGAACUGAGACACGGUCCAGACUCCUACGGGAGGCAGCAGUAGGGAAUCUUCCGCAAUGGGCGAAAGCCUGACGGAGCAACGCCGCGUGAGUGAUGAAGGUCUUCGGAUCGUAACUCUGUUAUUAGGGAAGAACAUAUGUGUAAGUAACUGUGCACAUCUUGACGGUACCUAAUCAGAAAGCCACGGCUAACUACGUG
rnacentral:rRNA from 1 species